rnacentral:rRNA from 1 species
GGGAAUUCGAUUCCUACGGGAGGCAGCAGUGGGGAAUCUUGCGCAAUGGGCGAAAGCCUGACGCAGCAACGCCGCGUGGGGGAUGAAGGCCUUCGGGUUGUAAACCCCUUUCAGCAGGGACGAAAUUGACGGUACCUGCAGAAGAAGCCCCGGCCAACUACGUGCCAGCAGCCGCGGUAAUACGUAGGGGGCGAGCGUUGUCCGGAAUUAUUGGGCGUAAAGAGCUCGUAGGCGGCUUGGCAAGUCGGGUGUGAAACCUCCAGGCUCAACCUGGAGACGCCACUCGAUACUGCUAUGGCUAGAGUCCGGUAGGGGACCACGGAAUUCCUGGUGUAGCGGUGAAAUGCGCAGAUAUCGGGAGGAACACCAGUAGCGAAGGCGGCUCGCUGGACCGUUCCUGACGCUGAGACGCGAAAGCUAGGGGAGCGAACAGGAUUAGAUACCCUGGUAGUCCUAGCCGUAAACGAUGGACACUAGGUGUGGGGGGAGUCGAAUCCCUCUGUGCCGAAGCCAACGCGUUAAGUGUCCCGCCUGGGGAGUACGGCCGCAAGGCUAAAACUCAAAUGAAUUGACGGAA